CAAGUACUCCCUCCGUCCGGAAUUACUUGUCAUCAAAAUGGAUGUGUCUAGAACUAAAAUACAUCUAGAUACAUCCAUUUCAAUGACAAGUAUUUUCGGACUGAGGGAGUACAAG
rnacentral:pre_miRNA from 1 species